UACGUAGGGUGCAAGCGUUGUCCGGAAUUAUUGGGCGUAAAGAGCUCGUAGGCGGUCUGUCGCGUCUGCUGUGAAAACUCAGGGCUUAACCCUGAGCUUGCAGUGGGUACGGGCAGACUAGAGUGCGGUAGGGGAGACUGGAAUUCCUGGUGUAGCGGUGAAAUGCGCAGAUAUCAGGAGGAACACCGAUGGCGAAGGCAGAUCUCUGGGCCGUAACUGACGGCUGGAGGAGCGAAAGCGUGGGGAGCGAACAGG
rnacentral:rRNA from 1 species